rnacentral:rRNA from 1 species
UGGGGAAUAUUGGACAAUGGGCGAAAGCCUGAUCCAGCCAUGCCGCGUGUGUGAAGAAGGUCCUCGGAUUGUAAAGCACUUUAAGUUGGGAGGAAGGGCAGUAAGCGAAUACCUUGCUGUUUUGACGUUACCGACAGAAUAAGCACCGGCUAACUCUGUGCCAGCAGCCGCGGUAAUACAGAGGGUGCAAGCGUUAAUCGGAAUUACUGGGCGUAAAGCGCGCGUAGGUGGUUCGUUAAGUUGAAUGUGAAAGCCCCGGGCUCAACCUGGGAACUGCAUCCAAAACUGGCGAGCUAGAGUAGGGCAGAGGGUGGUGGAAUUUCCUGUGUAGCGGUGAAAUGCGUAGAUAUAAGAAGGAACACCAGUGGCGAAGGCGACCACCUGGGCUCGUACUGACACUGAGGUGCGAAAGCGUGGGGAGCAAACAGG